rnacentral:snRNA from 1 species
AUACUUACCUGGCAGGAGAGAUGCCAUGAUCACAAAGGUAGUUUUCCCAGGAUGAGGCUCAUCCGUCGUACUCUUGGUGUGCUGACUAAUGUGAUUUCCUCUAAUUUAUGAUAAUGAGGAACUGUGUUUAUACUUUCCCUUG